rnacentral:rRNA from 1 species
CCUACGGGAGGCAGCAGUGGGGAAUAUUGCACAAUGGGGGAAACCCUGAUGCAGCAACGCCGCGUGAAGGAAGACGGUUUUCUGAUUGUAAACUUCUGUUCUUAGUGAAGAAUAAUGACGGUAGCUAAGGCUCACGCCACGGCUAACUACGUGCCAGCAGCCGCGGUCAUCCGUAGGUGGCAAGCGUUGUCCGGAAUUACUGGGUGUACAGGGAGCGCAGGCGGGAAGCCAAGUCAGCUGUGAAAACUACGGGCUUAACUUGUGGACUGCAGUUGAAACUGGUUUUCUGGAGUGAAGUAGAGGUGGGCGGAAUUACGAGUGUAGCGGUGAAAUGCGUAGAUAUUCGGAGGAACACCGGUGGCGAAGGCGGCCAACUGGGCUGUAACUGACGCUGAGGCUCGAAAGUGUGGGGAGCAAACAGGAUUAGAUACCCGUGUAGUC